GGAGCGGUAGUUCAGUUGGUUAGAAUACCGGUAUAUCACGCCGGGGGUCGCGGGUUCGAGUCCCGUCCGCUCCGCCA
rnacentral:tRNA from 1 species